rnacentral:tRNA from 1 species
GGGUAGGUAGCUCAGAUGGUAGAGCGACGGUCUCCAAAACCGUAGGCCCCAGGUUCGAGUCCUGGCCGACCCGC